rnacentral:rRNA from 1 species
UACGUAGGGUCCGAGCGUUGUCCGGAAUUAUUGGGCGUAAAGGGCUCGUAGGCGGUUUGUCACGUCGGGAGUGAAAACUCAGGGCUCAACCCUGAGCGUGCUUCCGAUACGGGCAGACUAGAGGUAUGCAGGGGAGAACGGAAUUCCUGGUGUAGCGGUGAAAUGCGCAGAUAUCGGGAGGAACACCGGUGGCGAAGGCGGUUCUCUGGGCCUGUACUGACGCUGAGGAGCGAAAGCGUGGGGAGCAAACAGG